UNGCCAGUCGAGAUAGGUGCUUUAACUGGGU
rnacentral:piRNA from 1 species